AUUGAACGCUGGCGGCAGGCCUAACACAUGCAAGUCGAACGAGUGGCGGACGGGUGAGUAAUGUCUGGGAAACUGCCUGAUGGCGGGGGAUAACUACUGGAAACGGUAGCUAAUACCGCAUACCAUCAGAUGUGCCCAGAUGGGAUUAGCUGGUUGGUGGGGUAACGGCUCACCAGGGCGCCGAUCCCUAGCUGGUCAGAGAGGUUGACCAGCAACCGUGGACAUGAGACACGGUCUAGACUCCUAAGGGAGGCAGCAGUGGGGAAUAUUGCACAAUGGGCGCAAGCCUGAUGCAGCCAUGCCGCGUGUAUGAAGAAGGCCUGCGGGUUGUAAAGUACUUUCAGCGGGGAGGCGUUACCCGCAGAAGAAGCACCGGCUAACUCCGUGCCAGCAGCCGCGGUAAUUA
rnacentral:rRNA from 1 species